ACCUCAGCUAUCGAAAAAUAUGGCAAACUGGCUUUCCACUUCGACGAAAAACAUUUGAGAAAGAAAUUCUGUCAAAUGUCAAUGGUCUCAUGAAACCUGGCCUCAAUGCCAUUAUGGGACCUGAAGAUGGAAGCAGGUCCUUGCUGUUAGAUGUCUUAGCGGCAAGGAAAGAUCCACGUGGAUUAUCAGGAGAAAUUCUGAUAAAUGGAGCACCUCAACCUGCCAAUUUCAGAUGUAAUUCUGGUUAUGUGCCACAAGUAAGUGUUAGUGGGUUUGUAAUUUGGAUUUCCUCUGCUUCUGUAUGGACAUGUGCCUCAGCCUAUAGAUUAGUAUGCUUAUGCUUCCAGUUAUUAAGCAGCAUAUUUAUAGAUUCAACUUUAUCUAUA